UACGAAGGGGGCUAGCGUUGUUCGGAAUUACUGGGCGUAAAGCGCACGUAGGCGGAUACUUAAGUCAGGGGUGAAAUCCCGGGGCUCAACCCCGGAACUGCCUUUGAUACUGGGUAUCUCGAGUCCGGAAGAGGUGAGUGGAAUUCCGGGUGUAGAGGUGAAAUUCGUAGAUAUUCGGAGGAACACCAGUGGCGAAGGCGGCUCACUGGUCCGGUACUGACGCUGAGGUGCGAAAGCGUGGGGAGCAAACAGG
rnacentral:rRNA from 1 species